CAACCCACUCCUUAAUAAACUUCGAUUCGGUUUGCUCGUAUUAGGGUCACAUUGGUGAUUUUCAACUCAAUCACGUUCCAGCACAGAUUCGAGUCCUUUUGCAUGAAUUCGGUGGGGAUGACAGGGCGGUAGAUGCUAUACUCCGAGGACUUGGAAAAGAUUCUCUUACUUGUGCUUUGCCAAGCCUUUACAGUUCGUGCCCUUGCCUCAGCCCAAGCUCGAGCUUGCAUCUUCUCUUCGUUCGUUUCCGGAUUUUUGCCUUCAGCACGCUGGUAAUGAUCAAAGAUUCAGAAUUGGAAAAAGAAGAUCACUAUAAUCAAAGUACCUGAAUGAGCAAAAGUGGAAGUAGCUGUAGCAGAGGGACACUCCAUUAGGGCCAUUAGUCGCUUAAGCCUUUGUACCUUCUCCUUAUAGAAGGUGUGACUGGGUGUGGAUGAUACAGCUUGAGCUAAUGAACAAGAGGUCUUUCACUUUCCGUCACGUCUCUAUGUCGACCAAGGUUAUUUGUCUAAUAGAAAGCGUUCUCCCACAACUGUUGAAGUUUUUUAUAUCGAAAAUGGGCGAUCUCUUCCUCAUAUGAAUAUGUGUGUUUGGUGAUUUGUGUCUUGGCUCGUCGAUUUCUCCUCCGGAUGAUCAUAGAAAGAGGGCUGCCGGAGAAAUGGAAGACUGAGCUAAAAAAGGCUGUAAACGAGAGUCAAUUUAAGAGUUCAAGGCGAUGGUGCUUUUUAAAUAGCGCCCGGAUUGAGAGUUGAGAGACCGAAGCCAGUGAGUUUGCAUACUCGAGUAAGGGUAACUUGGUGAAGAGUACUUAGCUUUGUGAAGGGCAUCUUCUUAAGCAAAGUGUUGAGUCCACCGGCCUAGAUGCCGCUUUUUUACCUUACGCCUUAGGAAAUAAGCAACCCUAGAUUUCAUUUCAUUGCAAACCACAAGUUCCUUGAUUACGGACUCUCUGGCCUCCAGGUCCGACUCGACUUCAGAAACGAUAACAGACAAUACAUAUUCAGCUUGAAUUCAGAAGAAAGAGAUGUAGGUCCUGUUUGGAGGCUAGACGAGGACUUCUAAUAAGAGGAGGAAAAGAUGUAUUGGAACGUCUGGUAGACAUAGAUUGUGUUGCUUUGGACAAUGUGUGAUUAUUUUAUGAUAUUGCAAUCUGCACAUCAACUCUCACUCAGACAAUCGUGGGAAACUUCCACCUAAAUUCUCUCCUAAAUUACUUUUUAAAAUUGGAUUGUUUCUAAGAAAAAAGAAGGAAAUGCAAGUUUUCCUAAAUUGUAUAGGCAAUGUUCUUCGCAGUCUCACCAAAUUUCUCAACUUUCAGAUAGGAACGACUACCGAAGGAAAGCCUUCUCUUUUAUGGAGAAACAGAAAUACUUCAAGUCCCCACUGUAGUGGAGAAAAUUGCUUCACUUGCAAUUGCAAAUGGGCGACUAGUUGCACUCUGGAAACUGACCUUAUUUUUUUACUCAUUUUUGACUCCUCGAGACAAAUCUGACCUUAUUUCCACUCUGAAAACUGCAGGACAUCCAGUUGCAAUGGUAUUGUUUUACAAGUUGACGAAUUGUUUGCUAGAGUUUACUUGCACAUGUUACUAUCGCAAUUUACAAUGUUUUUGGCCAUUAUGGCACUAUGAAAAAAUGGA